rnacentral:rRNA from 1 species
AUUGAACGCUGGCGGCAUGCCUUACACAUGCAAGUCGAACGGUAACAGGUCUUCGGAUGCUGACGAGUGGCGAACGGGUGAGUAAUACAUCGGAACGUGCCUAGUAGUGGGGGAUAACUACUCGAAAGAGUGGCUAAUACCGCACGAGAUCUACGGAUGAAAGCAGGGGAUCGCAAGACCUUGUGCUACUAGAGCGGCCGAUGGCAGAUUAGGUAGUUGGUGGGAUAAAAGCUUACCAAGCCGACGAUCUGUAGCUGGUCUGAGAGGACGAUCAGCCACACUGGGACUGAGACACGGCCCAGACUCCUACGGGAGGCAGCAGUGGGGAAUUUUGGACAAUGGGCGCAAGCCUGAUUCAGCAAUGCCGCGUGCAGGAUGAAGGCCUUCGGGUUGUAAACUGCUUUUGUACGGAACGAAAAGCCCUGGGUUAAUACCCUGGGGUCAUGACGGUACCGUAAGAAUAAGCACCGGCUAACUACGUGCCAGCCGCCGCAGUAA